rnacentral:rRNA from 1 species
UACGUAGGGUGCAAGCGUUAAUCGGAAUCACUGGGCGUAAAGCGUGCGCAGGCGGUUGUGCAAGACAGAUGUGAAAUCCCCGGGCUCAACCUGGGAAUUGCAUUUGUGACUGCACGGCUAGAGUGUGUCAGAGGGGGGUAGAAUUCCACGUGUAGCAGUGAAAUGCGUAGAGAUGUGGAGGAAUACCGAUGGCGAAGGCAGCUCCCUGGGAUAACACUGACGCUCAUGCACGAAAGCGUGGGGAGCAAACAGG